CAUGCUAGUCGUACGAGUUCAUACUCGUGGCGAAUAGCUCAGUAACACGUGGCCAAACUACCCUUCGGACCACAAUACCCUCGGGAAACUGAGGCUAAUAGUGUCUACCACAGUCCACCUGGAAUGAGGACUGUGCCAAACGCUCCGGCGCCGAAGGAUGUGGCUGCGGCCGAUUAGGUAGACGGUGGGGUAACGGCCCACCGUGCCAAUAAUCGGUACGGGUCAUGAGAGUGAGAACCCGGAGACGGAAUCUGAGACAAGAUUCCGGGCCCUACGGGGCGCAGCAGGCGCGAAACCUUUACACUGCACGACAGUGCGAUAAGGGAAUCCCAAGUGCACAGGCAUAGAGCCUGUGCUUUUGUACACCCUAGGGCGGUGUACGAAUAAGGGCUGGGCAAGACCGGUGCCAGCCGCCGCGGUAAUACCGGCAGCCCAAGUGAUGGCCGAUCUUAUUGGGCCUAAAGCGUCCGUAGCUGGCCGCACAAGUCCAUCGGGAAAUCCACCUGCCCAACAGGUGGACGCCCGGUGGAAACUGUGUGGCUUGGGACCGGAAGGCGCGACGGGUACGUCCGGGGUAGGAGUGAAAUCCCGUAAUCCUGGACGGACCGCCGAUGGCGAAAGCACGUCGCGAAAACGGAUCCGACAGUGAGGGACGAAAGCCAGGGUCUCGAACCGGAUUAGAUACCCGGGUAGUCCUGGCCGUAAACAAUGUCUGUUAGGUGUGGCUCCCACUACGAGUGGGUGCUGUGCCGUAGGGAAGCCGCUAAACAGACCGCCUGGGAAGUACGUCCGCAAGGAUGAAACU
rnacentral:rRNA from 1 species